UGGGGAAUUUUGGGCAAUGGGCGAAAGCCUGAUCCAGCAAUGCCGCGUGUGUGAAGAAGGCCUUCGGGUUGUAAAGCACUUUUGUCCGGAAAGAAAUCCUUGGCUCUAAUACAGUCGGGGGAUGACGGUACCGGAAGAAUAAGCACCGGCUAACUACGUGCCAGCAGCCGCGGUAAUACGUAGGGUGCAAGCGUUAAUCGGAAUUACUGGGCGUAAAGCGUGCGCAGGCGGUUUGCUAAGACCGAUGUGAAAUCCCCGGGCUCAACCUGGGAACUGCAUUGGUGACUGGCAGGCUAGAGUAUGGCAGAGGGGGGUAGAAUUCCACGUGUAGCAGUGAAAUGCGUAGAGAUGUGGAGGAAUACCGAUGGCGAAGGCAGCCCCCUGGGCCAAUACUGACGCUCAUGCACGAAAGCGUGGGGGAGCAAACAGGAUUAGAUACCCUGGGUAGUCCACGCCCUAAACGAUGUCAACUAGUUGUUGGGGAUUCAUUUCCUUAGUAACGUAGCUAACGCGUGAAGUUGACCGCCUGGGGAGUACGGUCGCAAGAUUAAAACUUAAAGGAAUUGACGGGGUCAUAGCUGUUUCC
rnacentral:rRNA from 1 species